rnacentral:misc_RNA from 1 species
UACAGAGGGUGCAAGCGUUAAUCGGAAUUACUGGGCGUAAAGCGCGCGUAGGUGGUUUGUUAAGUUGGAUGUGAAAGCCCCGGGCUCAACCUGGGAACUGCAUCCAAAACUGGCAAGCUAGAGUACGGUAGAGGGUGGUGGAAUUCCGCGUGUAGCAGUGAAAUGCGUAGAUAUGCGGAGGAACACCGAUGGCGAAGGCGACCACCUGGACUGAUACUGACACUGAGGUGCGAAAGCGUGGGGAGCAAACAGG